UUACGGUCAUAUCACGUUGAAACGCCGGUACUCGCACGAUCACCGUGGUUAAACAACAUGGAGCCUGUUCAGUACUUAGAUGGGUGACUGCUCGGGAAUAAGAGGUG